rnacentral:rRNA from 1 species
GAACGAACGCUGGCGGCGUGGAUAAGACAUGCAAGUCGAACGGAUUCGUUGAUGUAGCAAUACAUUGGCGGGUCAGUGGCGCAAUGGUGCGUAACACGUGGGCAACCUGCCCUGGAGUCUGGAAUAGCCCGCCGAAAGGCGGAUUAAUCCCGGAUGUGGCUACCAGUUGAUUAACUAGGACGCUAAAGGUGGCGCAAGCUGCCGCUCCUGGAUGGGCCCGCGGCCUAUCAGCUAGUUGGUUGAGGUAACGGCUCACCAAGGCGAUGACGGGUAGCUGGUCUGAGAGGACGACCAGCCACACUGGAACUGAGACACGGUCCAGACACCUACGGGUGGCAGCAGUCGAGAAUUUUUCGCAAUGGGGGAAACCCUGACGGAGCGACGCCGCGUGGAGGACGAAGGUCUUCGGAUUGUAAACUCCUGUCAUUGGUGAACAAAGUAAUCCCGUUAACUGCGGGGUUGCCUGCUAGUAGCCGAAGAGGAAGGGACGGCUAACUCUGUGCCAGCAGCCGCGGUAAUACAGAGGUCCCGAGCGUUGUUCGGAUUCAUUGGGCGUAAAGGGUGCGUAGGCGGUCUUCUAAGUUUGAUGUGAAAUCCCGGGGCUCAACCCUGGAAUUGCAUUGAAUACUGGAGGACUAGAGUACCGGAGAGGAAACUGGAAUUUACGGUGUAGCAGUGAAAUGCGUAGAGAUCGUAAGGAAGACCAGUGGCGAAGGCGAGUUUCUGGACGGUAACUGACGCUGAGGCACGAAGGCCAGGGGAGCAAACGGGAUUAGAUACCCCGGUAGUCCUGGCAGUAAACGGUGCAUGUUUGGUGUGGGAGGAAUCGACCCCUUCCGUGCCGGAGCUAACGCGUUAAACAUGCCGCCUGGGGAGUACGGUCGCAAGAUUAAAACUCAAAGAAAUUGACGGGGGCCCGCACAAGCGGUGGAGUAUGUGGCUUAAUUCGAUGCAACGCGAAGAACCUUACCUAGGCUUGACAUGCAUCUCUAAGGCGGUGAAAGCCGUCGAGUGGAGCAAUCCACAAUUUGCACAGGUGCUGCAUGGCUGUCGUCAGCUCGUGUCGUGAGAUGUUGGGUUAAGUCCCGCAACGAGCGCAACCCUUGUGAUCUGUUGCCACCGGCCUUUGGCCGAGCACUCUGAUCAGACUGCCCUGUGAAACGGGGAGGAAGGUGAGGAUGACGUCAAGUCAGCAUGGCCCUUACGCCUAGGGCUGCACACGUACUACAAUGCACAGUACAGAAGGAGCCGAGACCGCGAGGUGGAGGAAAUCACGAAAACUGUGCCCAAUUCGGAUCGCAGGCUGCAACUCGCCUGCGUGAAGCCGGAAUCGCUAGUAAUGGCGCAUCAGCUACGGCGCCGUGAUACAAUCCCGGGCAUUGACACACCG